UCAUCAAGAUAAAUCAAACAUCUCAUAUGCUAAUAUAUUUGCAUAUACAUAUUAGUAGAAAAAUGAUAUAGGAAUAUACUUUUUGAAUCUAGAACUAGGAUAAUGGUCUGAUAGAUGCUAAACUCUUGGAAUAGAUUUAGGUUUAACAUUCACUCAAAAUAUUGGAUUUUAAUGUUAUUAUAUUGAUUAAUCACUCGAGAGAUCGGGGGUUGAUAGGUAUAAUAG
rnacentral:lncRNA from 1 species